rnacentral:rRNA from 1 species
CAAGCCUGAUGCUAGCCAUGCCGCGUGUAUGAAGAAGGCCUUCGGGUUGUAAAGUACUUUCAGCAGUGAGGAAGGUGGAUAUGUUAAUAGCAUAUUCAUUUGACGUUAGCUGCAGAAGAAGCACCGGCUAACUCCGUGCCAGCAGCCGCGGUAAUACGGAGGGUGCGAGCGUUAAUCGGAAUUACUGGGCGUAAAGCGCAUGCAGGUGGUUUGUUAAGUCAGAUGUGAAAGCCCGGGGCUCAACCUCGGAAUUGCAUUUGAAACUGGCAAACUAGAGUACUGUAGAGGGGGUAGAAUUUCAGGUGUAGCGGUGAAAUGCGUAGAGAUCUGAAGGAAUACCGGUGGCGAAGGCGGCCCCCUGGACAGAUACUGACACUCAGAUGCGAAAGCGUGGGGAGCAAACAGGAUUAGAUACCCUGGUAG